rfam:Babjeviella inositovora NRRL Y-12698 unplaced genomic scaffold BABINscaffold_4, whole genome shotgun sequence.
GGCCGUGUGGUCUAGUGGUAUGAUACUCGCUUUGGGUGUGAGUGGCCCAGGGUUCAAUUCCCUGCUCGGCCC